CAAAGAGCAUUUGGAUUCCCAGCGACUUUUUGAAUGCAGGAUACCAGGCGACUUUUCAUGAGUGAGUUAUUGAACCGUUCAUAAACCAAUACUUUUAAAACCGCUCAUUCAGAAUGAAGUAAACAAGUUUUGGACUUUGAGCGCCACCAUUUCAAAGUUCAACCGACGAGCAAGAUGGUGCCAGCUUAACCGGCGAAAGGAUACUACUCCAAAAAUAUAGUUUUUUUUUUUUUUUUUUUCUGCUUCACAAAUGUAUUAUUUACUUGACAUGAAAAAGGAGAGAUAACAGACGCAGCUCCUAUGAGGAUGGAGAUCUGAAGUGUGUCGCCCUUGAGCCAGAGCAGAGGUAGACGAGCAAGUGACACAACACUCAGCUUCGUCCUGAUAAGAGAGAUCAGCAUCUCUUCAUACUGUAUGUAAAGCCAUAUGUGGUUGCUUCAUACUCCACACCCGAGAUGACAGCUGAAUGAAAUGUUUAAUACAUUUCAAAAGCGGAUAUUCAACAGAGACUUCCUUGCCUGUCCAUCACCAAAGCCCUGUGGUUUCUGAGAACUGUCUCCAUCAUCUCCUCAUUCUACUGGAUUUGUCUGCAGCACAGUAAGUCACCAGAUCAUCUGUUAUAUGAUAAGUCCCAGUGAUCCCAUUAUACUGAGAAAAGGACGGGGCCCGGCACCGAACCCUGAGG